UGGUGCCCGCAAGAUAAGGCACAAUAAAAAUUCUUGCUGGUGCGGAUGGGACUCUCUCCCGCCUGGUUUCCAAUUUCCAGUCAAAGAAUUGGUGGCGAGCCUGAGU
ncrna:unclassified sequences wcaG RNA